GGGUCAUAGCUCAGUGGUACAGCAUCUGCUUUGCUUGCAGAAGGUCCCAGCUUCAAAUCCCAGCAUCUCCA